GGUCAACAGAUACAACUUUUCCUGAACUGUGUGGACCACCGUGCGAAGCUCUGACAAAGCCUGAGAACAUUUUGGCCAGCCGUUCAUCGUGGUGUUUUGUACCGCACCCUGGCCAACAACAGCUUCUCAACUAUGUUCUGGACAUCAGCAGACCCAAAGAUGAGCUGAUUGUUGAAACGUCUUCUGGAUGCCUCACGCGGGCAGAUUUUUGGACACUGGGUUUAAACAAAGAAAUGGAAUCGACUAUUGCAAAUGGCUGUUUUGAGCUUAUCACUAAAAUUGUUCAGUCAAAGGGGAUAAGCGUUUACAUAGGAAAUCUGUACGUCACCCGGACUUGGCUUGCACCCUAUGGCUGUGAUCCAUUGCAGUCCUUUCCUACUGAUGCUCAGAGGAUGGACAUCAUAGUUCUCCCUCUGGACACCUGCUCAUUUCCAGUUGUGUGUAAGUCUUGUUUUUUGACACAUACAAACUGUUAGAAUGUUGCUAUGUGUCUGAGAUGUAUUCAAGCUUUUAUGACGCAGUUUCAAAAGUCUUUGAUUGUGAUCGCUUGCAAUGACAUUGUUUUCAGGUUUGAAGCCAUGGCUAACUGUCUUUUAGAUACUGAAGCCACCUAAAAGAGAAAUCCUCUUUCUUGACCCGUUACACACAAAGGCAGGAUUUGGUGGCCAACAAUGUGUUUCACUUUUGAGGUCACAUUUUUAUAAGCAUUUUUGGUUUGUUCCUGACUUUUUGGGAACCUGUUCAGUGUUCCAGGUUAAGUGCAUGAUCAUGUUCUGUUCACACAUACAGUACACUCACAUGCUUUUUUAUAAACUAUAUCAGCACGAUGCUUCAACAUUUUAUUCUAUUUCUCAUCUUCACAUUCUGAUCAAGUCAGUGAUGCUGUCUUUAGAUGAGUUUCAGACAUAAAUAGGGUCUUCAAACGUUUUAGUUUAACAUAAAACACCAUUAAAUAUUAGUUUAUAAAAUAUGCCAACCUCAAAUUAAAGCUGAAAAUGUUUUAUUUUGACCAACUGUGAGCAUGCGACUGUACUUUUUCAUUUUGUUAUGCUGUUUUGUUGAGGUCAUGUUCCUAAGGCCUGUAGUUACAGUUGGUGCUAUUAGCAAUAAACAUUUCACACCCAUCAUGAUGAUGUCUGUUAACUUGUGAAUGUAACUGUCUUGAAAAAAAGGAAAAAAAGGAAUCUUGCAGUGAAGCUCAUUCCCGGGCAGUGGUCAGAAAAAAAGAGCUUUGACUUGAAGGAGCUCUGGCAAGCUAUUUGCACACUGGAGAGAGGAAGCCAAAGCUGUGCUCGAAGGACAACACGUGCCCAUUUUCAGACUGAAAAAGCGCAAGUUCCAGGAAGUCAGUCAGGAGCCAGCAGUUGUUGAAGAGCUGCGUCCUGCUGUGCAGUGGGUUGUCCAAAAUAAGGCACUUUUCCAUAGACACGUAACAGUGCCAAAAUAUCUGUCCUUAAAUCAAGGGGACCAGCAGAGGGUCUUAAGAGACAUGUCAGAGGAAGAAGACACUGGAGCAAGGGACAUGUUCCUCUUUGUUUUUCAGUAUGCAGAGGACAUGGAGCUCUUUUUGAAAGCACAUGCUGAUGAGCAGGGACUAAGGGUCAGUGCUAUGUUUGACAUGUAAUGGACAAAUGAAGGCACUGACUGUGUUUGUUUGUUUGUUUGUUUGUUUAAUAUGUCGUUGUUGUUGUUUUUGUUUUGUUUUUGUAUAGUACAAAAUUCCAAUUAAACUUAUUUCAAAAUGUUGUUCACUUGAUUCUAUGUCCAUAAUUAUAAGAAAGGAUUACAGUGUAACAGCAUUAAAUGUAAAUGUAACAGCAUUUUUUUAUACUUGUAAUUUCAAAAUAAAAAGCUUAUUGUUGAUAUUAACAGUAAAGAAUUGUAAUCAAUAAUAAUUGUAUACAUUUUAAACAUUAGCACUCUGGGCUCUAUCCUGGCCAUUUGUGGCCACUUCACUCAAGAUUCACUUAUUCUUUUUUUUUUUUUUUGACUGCUGCACUGCAGUGGACCUAAAGAAUGACACGGGUUUGAUCUUAAGGAUCUAAUAGUUGUGUGUGUUGUGCAUGACAUUGCCACACAAAUAUGUAUUUGCAAGAUAAGAGUAGAAUAAAUUAUGACGCAUCAAAUAUUACAUAGGCUGCAGUGAAUUUCUGUUGAUACAGACUAUUGAGCUUUGAGUUUCCCAGUCAAACUUAGCUUUGAAGCACAUGCUAAAAACACUUUUACUCUUGUACACUUCAUAACAAGACAGCAUAACCAAAAUAUUAACAAAAUACAUAUUAUUAAAAAAUUCAAAGCUGCAGCACAUACAGCAACAAACACUGUUAGUAAAUGUGUCCUGGAGUUUAUGCAGGUGCAGAAAGUGCUCCUGCUGUAAAUAAGCCUAACAGCUUCCAGAUCACUUAUUUUUCUGGAAAGAUGGUAGGAAGGGCAUCACUGCUCAUUUCUACAGUCUCCCAGAUCUUGGAAUACAAUGCCUAUGGAACCACUUCACAGUACUAGGAGUCCAUUAAAACCUAUAAAGAGAGUGAUCCUGGAAGAAAUGGGGCACACACUAGUGACCUCAACUAUUGCAAGACAGCCUUUUCCCCAAUGCUCAGAUGGGGGGAAAAAAGGAACUAUCAUGAAAACAUUAGGACUUUAUCACCGUUGAACAAAAAUAAUAGUGCAUAAUAAUCUAUGUUGAUGUUAAUCAAUUAGAUGUCCCAGACUCUAUAAUACAGCAGUCCCUCGUUUAUUGCAGGAGUUACGUUCUAAAAAUAACCCGCGGUAGGUGAAAUCCGCACAGCUAAGACACACUACUACAAUCAUACAUU